AGUGAACGCUGGCGGUAGGCCUAACACAUGCAAGUCGAACGGCAGCACAGUAAGAGCUUGCUCUUACGGGUGGCGAGUGGCGGACGGGUGAGGAAUACAUCGGAAUCUACUUUUUCGUGGGGGAUAACGUAGGGAAACUUACGCUAAUACCGCAUACGACCUACGGGUGAAAGCAGGGGAUCUUCGGACCUUGCGCGAUUGAAUGAGCCGAUGUCGGAUUAGCUAGUUGGCGGGGUAAAGGCCCACCAAGGCGACGAUCCGUAGCUGGUCUGAGAGGAUGAUCAGCCACACUGGAACUGAGACACGGUCCAGACUCCUACGGGAGGCAGCAGUGGGGAAUAGUGGACAAUGGGCGCAAGCCUGAUACAGCCAUACCGCGUGGGUGAAGAAGGCCUUCGGGUUGUAAAGCCCUUUUGUUGGGAAAGAAAAGCAGCAGGUUAAUACCCCGCUGUUCUGACGGUACCCAAAGAAUAAGCACCGGCUAACUUCG
rnacentral:rRNA from 1 species